rnacentral:rRNA from 1 species
GACGAACGCUGGCGGCGUGCUUAACACAUGCAAGUCGAGCGGUAAGGCCCUUCGGGGUACACGAGCGGCGAACGGGUGAGUAACACGUGGGUGACCUGCCUCUAGCUCUGGGAUAAGCCUGGGAAACUGGGUCUAAUACCGGAUAUGACUCCACGGCGCAUGUUGUGGGGUGGAAAGCCUUGUGUGGCUAGAGAUGGGCCCGCGGCCUAUCAGCUUGUUGGUGGGGUGAUGGCCUACCAAGGCGACGACGGGUAGCCGGCCUGAGAGGGCGACCGGCCACACUGGGACUGAGACACGGCCCAGACUCCUACGGGAGGCAGCAGUGGGGAAUCUUGCGCAAUGGGCGAAAGCCUGACGCAGCGACGCCGCGUGAGGGAUGACGGCCUCGGUUGUAA